rnacentral:misc_RNA from 1 species
AGGCAGAGUUUUGAAGGACGUGUGGGCAGUGCAGAAGGAUCUCCAGGAUCUGCUUUCGACCGCCCAUGUGCAUUAGCUAACUGGGUGGCCAACACCGCCAGCCCACCACAACAAGCCUCCCCACACCCGUUCAAAAUUCCACCGCAAAUCCCCAGCCGGAGCAUCGCCAUGCCCGUUUCGAUGGCCGUGUGCGAAACGGCGAAUGUCGUCAACGCAGCGCUGCGAGAAUCCCUUGGCGGCAACUCCUCCGCCGCCGGCUCAUCGGCUGACCAGGCCAAAAGCGGCGAGGAGUCCAACGGCAGCCUGCAAAAUCACAUCGUGGCCAAUGCCAAGCGCAUCCUGAUGGCCAAAAUCGAAUACGAGGAGGUGCCCAAUUACCACGAAUCGGUGCUGGAGAGCCUUAAGUCCAAAUAUAUCGUCAUCAAGCCGGGAAAUCCAGGCGCCAUUAAUGGCUUUGGUGGCAAAAACAAUACAGGCAAAGUUGUGGGCGCAAAUGGACAUGACAAUAACGGCGCCCGUAAGCAAGCGGAGCACCCGAACAAUCAGUCGCACCACAACAACCACAACAAUCAUCCGCAUCCAACAAGCAAUCCCAAUGAGCUGCCCAAGCCGAAGAGGGUCCUAUAUCCUCGGGAGAACAUACGCAUUGGCUGGAAACAGUCGGAGCGUAAAUGGCAGGUGGGCACGGGCAUGAUCAACGUGGGCAACACCUGCUACCUCAACUCAACGCUUCAAGCGCUCCUGCACAUCCCCGCCCUGGCCAAUUGGCUCGUUUCGGAGCAGGCGCAUCUGGAGAACUGUAAUGUGGCCGAAUCUGGCGGCGGUUGCAUUGUUUGCGCCAUGGCCAAAACACUUCUGGCCACACAAAGCAAUCAGUCGGCCGUCAGACCCUUCCUCAUCUACUCAAAGCUAAAGCAGAUCUGCAAACACAUGGUCGUUGGUCGUCAGGAGGAUGCGCACGAGUUCCUGCGCUUCCUGGUCGAGGCCAUGGAGCGGGCCUAUCUGAUGCGGUUCCGCAACUACAAAGAGCUGGAUCAGCUGGUAAAGGAGACUACGCCGCUGGGACAGAUCUUUGGCGGCUAUCUGCGCAGCGAGGUGCGCUGCCUGAGCUGCAACCAUGUGUCCAUCACGUUCCAGCACUUCCAGGAUCUGUUGCUUGACAUCCGCAAGGCAGACACCUUGGAGGAUGCUUUCGAGGGACACUUCUCCCGCGAACGGCUAGAGGAUAUGGGCUACAAGUGCGAGGGAUGCAAGAAGAAGGUGUCUGCCACAAAGCAGUUCUCCUUGGAGCGUGCCCCAAUCACGCUUUGUAUCCAGCUGAAGAGAUUCUCCAUGAUCGGCAACAAACUGACUAAGCAGAUCUCCUUCAAGCCACGCAUCGAUUUGAGCAAAUACGCUGCCCGUUCACCAGCAGCGCAAGCUCAACCGCUUACCUAUCGCCUGGUGUCGAUGGUCACUCACUUGGGAGUGUCCCAGCACUGCGGUCACUAUACGGCCAUUGGCUCUACGGAUACGGGCAGCUAUUACAACUUCGACGACAGCUACGUGCGGCCAAUCGCAAUGCAGAGUGUGUGCAACACAAAUGCCUAUAUUAUGUUCUAUGAACUGGACCUCUCACAGACUGCCAGUCCGGCGGCUAACAGGCCCAAUGGAAUGCGUUUGACCAACGGACACAGCACAACGCCAGUGCCGGCGACUACUGUGUCCUCGCCUUCGCCAACCCGUUUCAUUGGUCCUCAACUGCCGCCAGGUGGAGUAAACGGCUACAGCAAUGGCAAUGCCCAGAAAACCGCCAUCCAGUUCAAGCAGCAUCACCAGCAAAGUCAGCAGAACGGUUUCCAGCUGGGGACCGGAAAGUUUCAGGACACUGCGAAGCCUCCACUGGUUGGCGCACACGCUAAAGGCGAAGCUAAUCCAGCUCCCACUGCAAAUGGUAACAAAAGUUCCUCCACAAGCAGCAACAAUAGCAGCAGCAGCAACCACAAAUCAAUAAACCAGCAACAAUAUCUGCCAAUCUCCUCGGAGGAUGAAGACAGCGAAGAUGAGAGGACGUCCAGGCCAUCGACAGUCCAGCUGCCGAGCAUGCCCAAGAUGACGGACGAUCACACGGAGAAGCCAAAGUCGCCAGUGAAGAUCCAAGCAAAGACUCCCAUCAAAACGCCACUGAAAAGUCUAGUGCCCUACGAAUCCGCCUCCGAGGAGGAGGAAGCGCCACUACCGAAUCCCCGCAAGCGGCGAAGUGGGGAGGACUCCAGCGAGUCGGACCAAGAGUCUGGCCAGACCAAUGGUCACAGUAAGACCAAUGGCAGCCUUACCAACGGCUCCGCCUCGUCAUCGGUUCACGUUAACAACAGCAAACUAAAGACUGAUGCCAUAGACGAGAUAUUCAAGAGCCUGAAAAAGUCCGCAGAUAGCGAUGACGACGACGAUGAGGAGGAGUCCAGCAUUCAGCUUACGAAUGGCUGGCAUCCACAGAAGCAAUCGCAGUCUCAAAGCAAAGCACCGCCAUCGCCCAAGACGCCACCCUCGCCUGCGGUCAUUAAAUCAAAGACGGGUAUCUGGAAAGUUACGCGAAACGAUGAGGUCGAUGACAUCGACGAUGAUGACGAUGAGGAGGAGGAAGCGACGGUGAAAAUACAGACACCCAGCAAGACGCAUCGCAAUCCGUUCUCGAGUAGCAAACCCUCCACAGACUCGCCAGCAACGCCAGGCGCCAAGCGCCAAAAGUUGCUUAACGGCAGUCCGGUCAAGUCGCACCAGCAGCCAAGGGUGGGCAAUGGUUACCAGAGCGAGGCCACCUCGAAUGGUAGCACCAUUAAUGAGCUGCUGAAGCAAUCGCAUCGUGGAUACGGCUCCUCGGUGCUCAGUUGGAAUGGCAAGCCCGCGGAACUCGAGAAGGAGACUUUUGAGUUGGUUUGUGCGAAACGGAUAGCUGGUCACGGCAGUGUGGAUGGCAGCGAUAUCGUCGAGAGCUCGGUAGCAGUCAACGCGUCUAGUGGCAGUGACAGUAACGACGUGGUCGUAAUUGCAGUUGCGGUAUCAGACGCUAGCGCUGACGCACCCGAUCCGGAUCGUCUCACGGACGGCCGGUAGGAGGCAGAAGCGGCGGCGGAGGCGGCGCUCUUUCUGUUUCCCCACAAAGCACACACAAUACAAACGAUACGAUUACCCCGAAUAGUCUGUGAUUGCGUUGAUGGUAUCCGUUCUCAACCGGGCGGACACCACAACGCGUCCUCCGUUCACCGAGCGUUAAAAGUGUAUAGAGAGUUGCAAAAGUCAUUGCGGGAGGGAGUGACUGCACCAGAGCCUAGGUAAUUCACCCGAUGACUCCGCAUCCGUGUCCCCGUGCAAUGAAGCUUAUGAUUUGACUGCUGGCCGGCACGUUGUUUCUUUCAUUUCCCCGCCUGAUACGCCAUAAAUUCAACCGUUGUGCCGUUACCGUUUUGCCUGAUAACCUGUCACCGUGAACCGUAAACCCUACUGGUGGAUGCGCGAGAGCAGCGUCAGCGGGACCUCGAUGACGAUGAGGAGAAUGAGAUGGAUCGUGGACGUCAGCGGAAGGUGA